AAGUGAUCACUCUCCUUACAAUCCAACUGCAUCCUCAAAGGAAACUGCACACCAUAUUCAAAAGGUGAGCCUGGGAGCUUAAAUUCAUAACUGUACUAGACACUAAAAAUAAAUGACUGAAUACAGACACUGGAUUUGUGGCUUAUUACAACUAUAUACAGCUCACUAACCUCUCCCCCUCCCGACUGGAGAGGUGUUAACAGGCCACUUCACCUUGACUGGUUGUGACGGGAUCCGCAGGGUGCAACGUAGACUAUGGGACUGCUGAGUCCUCUGAACCCACCAACAUGGGUUGCCUCUCACGCUGUGAUGCUGAUGUAAAGCUACAAACCUCUAAUAGACACUGCACUUAUACAGAAAUCCACAGACAGGGACACACCCAACUGAGUUACAUGAAUGAUUUCCUGGUUACUCAUGAACCAUCAAUACAGAAGCUCCAGCCAAUUCCCCCCAGUUCCUCAGCCUUGCACCCCAGAAUGUACUGUCUUGCAUUGGUCAGAAGCCUGGCCAGUAUAAACUCAUUACCUAGUUCGCCACUCUGACAAAAGCGAAGUGGGUGUGCAACAGCCCUUGUUAACCUGAGCUGAGCUGAGAUAACCUAACCCAAGCACUUCCACCAAAACACACUGUUUUAGGUAAAAUAUAAAACAGAUUUAUUAACUACAGAAAGAUACAUUUUAAAUGAUUAUAAGUGGUGGGCAUAAAAGUCAGAGAUAGUUGAAAUGAGAAGUAAACACACAUUCUAAAUCCUAAAAUUUAGUCUCAGCAACAGUUGAAUCAAACAAUGUCUCACCCUGACAGAUGGUACAAGCAGGUUACAGUUCCUCAAUACACAGACUGGGACUACCUUCCAGCCUGCAACCAAACUUCCCCAAUUCAAAGUCUUUGUCCUCCAGACGUUCUUCUAGGUGUUAAGUUGGAGGGUGGAGAGAGAGUUGGAGAGGCGGGGGCAGAGAGAAAGAGAGGGGCCAAGUGAUGAUGUCACUUCCACUCUUUUAUACUUUCUUCCUCCUUGCUGUGACAAGGGGAUCAGGAAGUCCCCUUUGGUCAAGCAGUCUCCACUGCAUAUGUGCCUUCUCUAAGGAGUCUGAGAUAGUGGAUUCUUUUCUUGAUGGGUGCUGAUGAGCCAUUAAUGCUGUCGGGCUACCAAUGGCUACUCCUUUGUUGUAACUGAAAGGCUGGUUGUGGGUGUUCACAACAUAUUUCAGAAACACACAUAAAUACUUCAUAACUUCACAUACAAUGAUGAUACAUACAAUCCAACAGAGUAUUAAUGUUCAACAGAUCAAGACUUUUAAAAUGAUACCUCACAAGGUAUAAUUUGUACAAAAGAUAUAAUAAUCAUGUCACCAUGGUAAAUAUGAGAGUUCCAGAGUUCUACUUUGAGGUACAGUGUGUCACACUGGUCCCAUGAAAUAGGUAUUAUCUACUUAUGCUAAACAAUCUGUUCCACCUCGUAUUUAGCUGACACUCAUUUCCCAGAUUGGAAGAAGAGCUCUGUGUAAGCUUGAAAGCUUGUCUCUCUCACCAAUAUAGUAGAACCUCAUAGUUCCGAACACCAGAGUUACGA